GGGGACCACCCCGUAAGGCUAAAUACUACUUAGUGACCGAUAGCGCAUAGUACUGUGAAGGAAAGGUGAAAAGGACCCCGGGAGGGGAGUGAAAGAGAACCUGAAACCAUAUGUUUACAAGCUGUGGGAGGUGUGUCUAUGGAUUCACCUAUCUUCAUGAGCCCUGUAGCUGUUACGGCAGUGAUUACAGCGUCAACUUACUCGGCGUAGACAACUACGCCUGUGUGAGUUUCCUUGUACUCACAACCGUACCAGCCACAGUUUAUCAUGAGAAUAGGUGAAUCCAUAGCCAUCGACCGCGUACUUUUUGUAGAACGGUCCGGCGAGUUACGCCGGCUGGCAAGGUUAAGGGCUUUAAAGGCCCGGAGCCGAAGGGAAACCAAGUCUGAAUAGGGCGAGCACAAGUCAGUCGGAGUAGAC
rnacentral:ncRNA from 1 species